AACGAACGCUGGCGGCGCGUCUUAAGCAUGCAAGUCGAACGGCAAGAUUGGUGCUUGCACCGAUCCUAGAGUGGCGGACUGGUGAGUAACGCGUGGGUGACGUACCCUAAGGAUGGGGAUAGCUGGUAGAAAUAUCAGAUAAUACCGAAUAUCCUUAUUGUUGUUAGAGGACAGUAAGGAAAGGAGCUUUGGCUUCGCCUAAGGAUCGGCCCGCGUACUAUUAGCUAGUUGGUGAGGUAACGGCUCACCAAGGCGACGAUAGUUAUCCGGCCUAAGGAGGUGAACGGACACAUUGGGACUGAGAUACGGCCCAGACUCCUACGGGAGGCAGCAGCUAAGAAUAUUCCGCAAUGGAGGAAACUCUGACGGAGCGACGCCGCGUGGAUGAUGAAGGCCGGAAGGUUGUAAAAUCCUUUUAAGCAAGAAGAAUAAACUUUACAGGGAAUGGUAGAGUGGUGACGGUAUUGCUUGAAUAAGCAACGGCUAAUUACGUGCCAGCCGCCGCCGUAAUAC
rnacentral:rRNA from 1 species